rnacentral:rRNA from 1 species
GAUGAACGCUGGCGGCGUGCCUAAUACAUGCAAGUCGAGCGAACAGAUGAGGAGCUUGCUCCUCUGACGUUAGCGGCGGACGGGUGAGUAACACGUGGAUAACCUACCUAUAAGACUGGUAUAACUUCGGGAAACCGGAGCUAAUACCGGAUAAUAUAUUGAACCGCAUGGUUCAAUAGUGAAAGACGGUUUUGCUGUCACUUAUCGAUGGAUCCGCGCCGCAUUAGCUAGUUGUUAAGGUAACGGCUUACCAAGGCAACGAUGCGUAGCCGACCGGGGAGGGUGAUCGGCCACACUGGAACUGAGACACGGUCAAGACUCCUACGGGAGGCAGCAGUAGGGAAUCUUCCGCAAUGGGCGAAAGCCUUACGGAGCAACGCCGCGUGAGUGAUGAAGGUCUUCGGAUCGGAAAACUCUGUUAUUAGGGAAGAACAAAUGUGUAAGUAACUAUGCACGUCUUGACGGUACCUAAUCAGAAAGCCACGGCUAACUACGUG